rnacentral:lncRNA from 1 species
CCCUUUGGCGAUGAAUCUGAGAUCAUGAACCAUCUUUCCUCUCCGAAAGGAGUGUUCUUCUUGGAUAUUUUGGACUCCCCUUUUGUUACUAUCUCUCCUAGUAUUUAUAUAAAAUACUUUCAUUAUCCAUCGGCCUUUGACCAGUGUACCCCUAUCUUUUAAAUAUCAUGCGGAAUAACCCUCUAAUAUGACUAAGUAUUGAACUAGCCAUACGAGCCUCAUGAGUGCUCGGGCCACAGCCGGAUUGUUUGCCGGUGUGUUACUUCCUAAAACAUGACUUCGGCUUGACCAACCUCAGAGAACUAUAGUGAAAGUACGUGUGAAAUAUCAACAACACUCUCACAGUUUGUAUGUAGGAUUUCAAGGUUAUAACCCAACCACAUCCUUUUGCUGUAACAAUAGAAAUAUUAUACGGCUAACCAAUC